GGUUGAUGGCGGCGCAGGAGUGUGAACGCGCGAGCGGCUAGCAGUGCAGGCACGCGGCGCAGACGCAGGCGGAGCUGCGGCCGUAGCGUGGCAGCGUGUGAGCAGAAGAAGGGUGGCCGCAGCAGGUGUGGUGCGGGCCAAGGGCGCACACGGUUCGGGCGUGCGCGGGAAUGAUUCGGCAAGGCCGGAGCAAGCGCGGGUCCGAUAAUAGGAGAAGAGGAGUAACUGUGCGGGGCAACGACGUGCAGCGCGACGAUGUGCAGGGCGACGACGUGCGGCGCAUGGCGAGGUCCCCGUUGGGUGAGCUCAGACCGCGACCGAGUUGAUGUGCAGGAAGGUCGCGCGCGGUGCGGGAGGAGCUGCAGUGCGGCGGCUGCGAACGGAUUCGCACGGGAGCAACGGGGCCACGCGUGGAGAACGUCGGAAGCCGUCAAAGUGAAGGCAGCGGACGAGGUCAGGCGGCACUGCGAGUUGCUCGUGGAGGAUAUGGAGAUGGCCCUGGCAUAUGCGCGGGCAAGGCAACAGGCUACGCGCGAGCAGGUUGAGGGCCAAGGAUGCGGAAG